AUGGGCCUUCUGAAGCCGGAGCCAAGGACAGCAGGACAAAAACAGCAAGUGCAGCUUCUGAAGGACAGGCACUCGGGAGUGUGCACUUGCUGGCUGCAGUAUGGAGUCUCCUCUAAAUUAAGACCUUUCAUCCACUCGAAAAGCACUGAGCACCUACUACGUGCCAGUGAGUUGUCCAUGUUUGGUCAAGUUGGAUUCAGUUGUGGAAUCAUCUAGAAUUUCUGCCAGAAAAUCAUCUCAGCUGAAAUUCCUGUAGGCUCUAAAGAAGAAGGAAAAGGUUGUUUUUAAGAGGUAUGCUUACAUGCAUUGCAAAGAAGGGUCACUAUUUUGAAUCUUUGGAAAUAGAAAACUUAAGGAUUUCUUUCUGUUGUUUUGUUUUUUCCUAGUACAUAUUUUAAAGAAAUCUGAGGUCCAUGUGUUUCUUAAAAUGGAUUUGACUGUUUGGUAGUGGUGUAGAAAUAAUAGUAAGGAGUGGUCUACUCUUGAGGGGGCCCAGGGUUCCAAGGGUCAGAGAACCAGGCUCAGGACUCAGAAUUUAGAGAGGUUUGGGGGAGUUUAGAUCCUAAGACUGUCAUAGUAUUAUUCCAGGUAGAUUAUGGAUUAUUUUGCAGACUGACCUAGGUUCUAAAUACCAUUUAAAAUGUUCGCUUUCAUGGGAAAAUACAUUCCAAAUUCCAAGCCAAUUUAUGGAAUAUAAUAGGUUAGUAAAAAGUAUACAAAAUAUAUUUCUAUGUAAGAAAUAGUACAUGUGAACAUAUAAUAGUCUGUAAUAUAUUUGCAUGUAUGACAUAUGCUUUCAUAUGUGAAUAGAUGCCAUAUACUCAUUUCUUUUCUCAGUUCUUCAUUACAAUUAACCUUGUUUGUGAUAUGAGAGGAAACUAUUCUCCCUUUAUCAUUUGUCAUCUCAUUAAAACUAUCAACUCUGCUCAUGCUUGUUUGGAGCCCGUGCACUGAUAUUGGCAUUAAUGCUGUGCUAGGUGGUGUUUCAAAGCAAAAUGUGAUUUUAGCAAAGUUGCAUACAAAUAUCUACUGUAUGUCUUACUUUAAGUCCUCUUUUAUUAUCCAGAAAUAAUUAUAAUAUAUGGGUAAGUGGUGUAUACAUUCUAUGAUACACAUUCUAUGAUGGAAAGUGAUACACAUUUUUCAGUGACUAACCCUUUGUCAUGUGGCCAAAAAUGCUUGUUAAUGGAAUU
rnacentral:lncRNA from 12 species